GACAAAGAGAGAGCCACACAAAUAAGGAGUGCCAGAGAGAGACAGAGAGAGAGAGAGAGAGAGAGAGACAGAGACAGAGACAGAGACAGAGAGAGAGAGAGAGAGAGAGAGAGACAGAGAGAGAGACAGAGAGAGAGAGAGACCGAGAGACCGAGAGAGAUCCAUCAUCAGCCCUUGCCUUUUUGAACCGGAGAGCCCUCCCCCGCGUCCUCCCCUCUCUCCUGGGCCGGAGGGUCCGCCGCUCGGUCUGCCCUCUGGGGCUCAGCGGCGGGCGGGUCCUCCCCGGGGGGGCCCGCCCCGUCCCCACAGCCCUCCCCACCGGGGACGGGGCGGGGGGACGCGGGGCCACCGGCCGGACGUUCGGGUCCAGCCGCGGAAGGUUGGAUGGAGGGUUGGGUGGAGGGUUGGAUGGAGGGUUGGGUGGAGGGUUGGAUGGAGGGUUGGGUGGAGGCUUCGAUCGAGGGUGGGGAGGAGGGUUGGGUGGAAUGGAGGGUUGGAUGGGUGGAGGAGGAAUGGAUGGAGGGUUGGAUGGAGGGUUCAAUGGUGGGUUGGAUGGAAGGUUGGGUGGAGAGUUGGGAGGAGGGUUCUAUGGAGGGUUGGGUAGAGAGUUGGGUGGAGGGUUCUAUGGAGGGUUCUAUGGAGGGUUGGGUUUCUAUGGAGGGUUGGGUGGGGGGUUGGGUGGAGGGUUGGGUCGAGGGUUGGGUCGAGGGUUGGGUCGAGGGUUGGGUGGGGGUGUUGGUGGAGCCGUCCUUCCGUGACGAACUGCAAGUCGAUGGAUGCAAAAUAAAUGACUGUAAUAACACCAGUUUCUAUGCGAAAAAGAAUGUGACUUGGGCGACCCAUUUCAGAAAGCAGGAAGCUACCCG
ensembl:lncRNA